rnacentral:lncRNA from 1 species
UCCAUUUUGGAUAGCUCACUAUCAGUUUAUAGAAAUGGUAAAUCACCCUUUGUGGAUAAAGCAUGGGUACUCAGCAAUUAGGAAUAAACCCUUCAGCUAAUGUCUAAGUUGCUUUCAUUGUUACUUUAUCUGUUUGAUUUCUUGUCUAAAGUUUGAUAAUGGCAACUAACCCAUUUUUAAGAGAAAUUAAAAUGGAUAACAUGCAUGUGAUAUUCUGUGAAAAUUGCAUGACUUCUUUUAAUUAAUUUAAGGAAACUAUAGAUGUGUAGUUAGGGCUUUAAACCAAACUGGUGCAAUUUAUUUUCUGCUAAAUUACAAAGUUAUUUGAUUGAAUUGACAAGUAAUAUUGCUUUGUUUUAUUUUUAAUUCGUUACUGUGCAAAUUCACAUUUGGGGAAUGUAAGAUUAUAUAGGAAACCUUGAACCACCUUUAAAUAACUAUAUUUUUAUUUAUUAAGCCACAAACAGUUUAGUUAUGUUGUUAUGAGCAAAUAUAUUUACUAUUUUUUCUCUGCAAUAGGAAUAGAGAUUUCUUUUGCUCUUCUAUCUCAACUGAAAAGCAUAUGUUUUCUGGAUCACUGCCAUUGGCUCCUUCCAUAGUAUUUAAUAAAUAUAUGCAUUUCAUAGUGUUAGGCUUGUAUAAAUACACUACUAACUUCUCUUCACUAUAAAUGAACUUGAGCAACUCUCAUAUCUACAAUUUCUAGCACCAGAAAAGUGACAUUUUCCUUUAAGAUGGGUAAUAGGCCUUUUGAGGUCAUGGUGGAGUCAUAUACUCCCUUUUAUGACAAUUAUUAGCACCACGUGAGGGCAGAGAGGAAUGUAAAAAAAGUAUCAUUUCAAGUUACUAAGCUACAACCUGCCACCACUGAUGGCAUGUCCACUUACAGCUCACGAGCCAGCUCUUCAUCAAUAAGUGCUGCUUUGCAGUGGUUUGUAAUUGAAUUGUAUGAUGUAAAUGUGGAGACAGCCAAUCAUGAUGUUACAGGAUCUUUGGGGUGUCGAUUUUCUUGCCCAGAAACCUCUGUGGACAGUGGCAUCUUUGCCUGAGUUCUUGUCCUGCAUCCAGGAGGAAUGAGAUACCUGGGAGAGAGGAUUUUUCAUGUUACCAACACAAAGAAAUGAUAAAGUGCUUCCCUUGCAGGUGAAAUGGCCACCAGACCCAGGCUUUCUGGAAUGCAUUCAUUUUCUGCAGUUGAAAGGGACAAUCCCGGAUCUGAAAGAAAGAGCCACAGUGACUCCAAGAGUGGAGCCAGGGCAUGCUGGACACUGCAUAGCUAUGGCCACGUGUGUCACCUCUGAGGGAGAUGUGAGAGAAACGCAGAGGGAUCGCUUGUGACUGUGCCUUCUCGAUGUAUGAUGGACUGUUCUGCUCAAAUAUAUCAGCCUUUUGCCAAGCUGAACACAAGAGGAUGAAAAGAAAAUCUGGGCUCGAAUGUGCAAUUUCAUAUUUUCUGUUAAGGCAAUUUACAACAUAUCAUAAAGCUGCAUUAAUAAACAGAUGUUCCACAGUCUGCAGAAUAUAAAAUAAAUGUCUUGAAUAAGCUACGAAGACCAAGGCA